UACGUAGGGUGCAAGCGUUAAUCGGAAUUACUGGGCGUAAAGCGUGCGCAGGCGGUGAUGUAAGACAGUUGUGAAAUCCCCGGGCCCAACCUGGGAACUGCAUCUGUGACUGCAUUGCUGGAGUGCGGCAGAGGGGGAUGGAAUUCCGCGUGUAGCAGUGAAAUGCGUAGAUAUGCGGAGGAACACCGAUGGCGAAGGCAAUCCCCUGGGCCUGCACUGACGCUCAUGCACGAAAGCGUGGGGAGCAAACAGG
rnacentral:rRNA from 1 species